UUCUGAAACUCAGCCCUCUGCUCUAAAAACAAAACCUAGUCUUAUGUAAUAGUAGUGUGGUAUGAUACAAAACACAUAGUUGGUCUUGUCCUCAGUUCUCAGCACAGAGCUCCUAAAACCCUUGGCAUUAAAUUCCCUGAGUGAUAGGAGUAUCUUUUGUUAUUUUUAACAAGUCCUUUUCAGCCAUACCUGAAUUCAUGCUAAUGAGUGACUCUUGGUGGAACCCUAAAUAGCUUCAGGAUGGGAGCUGGUCACCAGAAGAAGCAGCCACGUGAUUGGGGGGUUGGCACUCUCAGGCCCCACCCCCAGGCUGGGGAAGGGAGAGAGGUUGGAGACUGACUUACACCAAUGUCAUGAUUUAACCAAUCAUUCCUAAGUAACAGAACCUCCACAAAAGCCCCUAAACAAUGGAGCUUAGUAUGCUUCCGGAUAGGUGAACACACUGAGGUAGCGGGAAGGUGAUGUGCCUGGAGACAUCCCCGUAAUUGUAAACCUGUAAACAUGUUUUUCCCAAGUUCUGUGAGUCAUCCCAGUGAAUUAUUAAACCUGAGGAAGAGGUCAGGUGAACCCCCAAUUUAUAGUGCAGUUGGAUACAAGUACAGGUGGCCCAGGACUUGCAAUUGGUAUCUACCAUGGGGGAAGUCUUGAGGAACUAAGCACUUUAACUAGGAUCUGACAGUAACUCCAGUUAUUAAGGAGCUGAAGUCAACAAGAUUUUUCAUUACCAAUAUUAGCACUAAGGAAUAAAGUUCCUUGAGAUUAGAAAAUCUUAAAGAACUGGGAAAGACAAGAAAGAUCAUGUGUGGGGCCUGGUACACCUUCCUCUCCAGUUCUGCUGACCUUUUAGGUCUCAGGUGAAAUGUCAUUUCCUUGGGCCUCCCCUGAUCCCGCAGAUAAAGUCAGUUUCUCUCGUGGAACACUGAGAGCAUCCUGAACUUCCCUUUUUUUAGCCCCAUGUACAUGUAACUUCCCAUUAAACAUCUGCUUCUUCUCUGAACUGUAAGUUCCAUGAUGUGGAACUUUGUCUCUGCUGUUCUGAACCCACUGACCUCCCCCAUCUAUCU